UACGUAGGGGCCUAGCGUUGUCCGGAUUUAUUGGGCGUAAAGAGCUCGUAGGCGGUUUGGUGAGUCGGGUGUGAAAUCUCCACGCUCAACGUGGAGGGGCCACCCGAUACUGCCAUGACUAGAGUCCGGUAGGGGAGUGUGGAAUUCCCGGUGUAGCGGUGAAAUGCGCAGAUAUCGGGAGGAACACCGGUGGCGAAGGCGGGUCUCUGGGCAAUUCCUGACGCUGAGGCGCGAAAGCGUGGGGAGCAAACGGG
rnacentral:rRNA from 1 species